GGCUUCGUGCUACGAAAGAGAGCCGUAACACAGGUGCUGCAUGGCUGUCGUCAGCUCGUGUCGUGAGAUGUUGGGUUAAGUCCCGCAACGAGCGCAACCCUUGUCAUUAGUUGCUACGAAAGGGCACUCUAAUGAGACUGCCGGUGACAAACCGGAGGAAGGUGGGGAUGACGUCAAGUCCUCAUGGCCCUUAUAGGUGGGGCUACACACGUCAUACAAUGGCUGGUACAAAGGGUUGCCAACCCGCGAGGGGGAGCCAAUCCCAUAAAGCCAGUCGUAGUCCGGAUCGCAGUCUGCAACUCGACUGCGUGAAGUCGGAAUCGCUAGUAAUCGUGGAUCAGCAUGUCACGGUGAAUACGUUCCCGGGUCUU
rnacentral:rRNA from 1 species